rnacentral:rRNA from 1 species
CUAUGUUUUCAGUCCACUGGCUUGCUGAAACUCUCUGGUUUGGUUCUGGGAACACAGGAUUACAGCCAGCAGCGGCCGUCUCAGGAGCUGGUCGCCAAGGAUUUUGGUUCUGUGUAG